UACGAAGGGUGCAAACGUUGCUCGGAAUUAUUGGGCGUAAAGCGCACGUAGGCGGCUUGGAUAGUCGGAUGUGAAAGCCCUUGGCUCAACCAGGAAGUGCGCCCGAAACUGCAGAGCUUGAGUGCCGGAGAGGGUGGCGGAAUUCCCCAAGUAGAGGUGAAAUUCGUAGAUAUGGGGAGGAACACCGGUGGCGAAGGCGGCCACCUGGACGGAACUGACGCUGAGACGCGAAAGCGUGGGGAGCAAACAGGAUA
rnacentral:rRNA from 1 species